rnacentral:rRNA from 1 species
AAGUCGUAACAAGGUUUCCGUAGGUGAACCUGCGGAAGGAUCAUUACCGAGUUAGGGUCUUAUAGGCCCGAUCUCCAACCCUUUGUUUACUAUACCAUGUUGCUUUGGUGGGCCCGCCUUUCGGGGCCGCCGGGGGCUUAUACCCCUGGCCAGUGCUCGCCAGUAGCCUUAUUAAAUUCUUUCAUAAUUAUGUUGUCUGAGUAUAAAAUAUAAAUCGUUUAAAACUUUCAACAACGGAUCUCUUGGUUCUGGCAUCGAUGAAGAACGCAGCGAAAUGUGAUAAGUAAUGCGAAUUGCAGAAUUCAGUGAGUCAUCGAAUCUUUGAACGCAUAUUGCGCCCUUUGGUAUUCCGAAGGGCAUGCCUGUUCGAGCGUCAUUAUCAACCAUCAAGCCUGGCUUGUCGUUGGACCCCUUGCUGCUGAAAUAUACGGCAGGUCCGAAAGAUAAUGACGGCGUCGUGUUUGACCCUAGAUGCAACGAGCUUUUUCAUAGCACGCAUUGAAGUGGUCGGCCGACCCGGUCUUUAACCAUCAUUUUCUAAGGUUGACCUCGGAUCAGGUAGGAAUACCCGCUGAACUUAAGCAUAUCAAUAAGCGGAGGAAAAGAAACCAACAGGGAUUACCCUAGUAACGGCGAGUGAAGCGGUAAUAGCUCAAAUUUGAAAUCUGACCUUCACGGGUCCGAGUUGUAAUUUGUAGAGGAAGUUUCGGAUAAGGCUGUGGUUUAAGUGUCUUGGAACAGAACGUCAUAGAGGGUGAGAGUCCCGUCUAGAGCCGAUAGCCGCGUCCAUGUGAAACCCCUUCGACGAGUCGAGUUGUUUGGGAAUGCAGCUCAAAAUGGGUGGUAAAUUUCAUCUAAAGCUAAAUAUUGGCCAGAGACCGAUAGCGCACAAGUAGAGUGAUCGAAAGAUGAAAAGCACUUUGAAAAGAGAGUUAAACAGUAUGUGAAAUUGUUGAAAGGGAAGCGCUUGCAACCAGACUUGUGUUUAACGGUUCCCCCGGUCUUCUGACCGGGCUACUCCGUUAUAUCUAGGCCAGCAUCGGUUCGGGUGGUCGGUGAAAGACUCUGGCAAUGUAUCUACCUUCGGGUCGACUUAUAGGUCAGGGUGUAAUGCGUCCUACCUGGACCGAGGAACGCGCUUUUGCUCGGAUGCUGGCGUAAUGGUUGUAAGCGGCC